rnacentral:lncRNA from 1 species
AUUUUUUUAACUUUCUUGUAAAUAUUUUACUUCCAUGGUGUAAAGUUAAAACAACGUGGUUGUUGACAGUACAAAACAAUAUAUAAAACAAUAUGUUUUUUCGCAGUUUGAUAUAAAAAUAUUUUUUUUCUCUAUCAUACUUUAACAAGACGGUAAAGUAUCGAUGUCAGGUGCGGUGAUUGUGUAUGAAGACGGACGAGGGUGAUAUGUUUGCCCGUUAGAUCUCGUUGUAAGUUGUUUAAGAGGCUGGGACAUGAAUCAUUGAGCUUUUCAGCAGAAAAAUGAAAAAUAGAAGAAAAAAAAAUGUCUUCAAAUGGUGAUAUUUUCAUGCCUCCCUCGUGUAUAAGGCAAAAAAACAUAUUUUUUGUUGAAAUCCAUUUUUAUUGUGUGUAUUAGGACACUUAUACCUGGGACCCAUAUAUAACCAAUGACUGUUUUGUACUUUGACAUAUUAUGCACAUUUUACAUUGUAAUAAAUGCUUAAUAAUUAAAGAAAAUGUUUAUGCUUAAGUAAAAAGUUAAUAAAUCAAGGAAAAAAAUAUAGAAAUAAUAAUUAUAACAUAUAUGUCAAAGGAUAUUUGAGUGGUUUGUGUUAUUUAUUACCCCUUUUGAUCUAUAAUAAAACUAUAUAGACAAAUUAAUAAGUGCUAUAGCCGAAAUCUCCCAAUGUGCUUACGUAUUACACAGGCA